AAAGAAAAAAAAGGUAUUUACAGUCAAUGUGGAGGCUAUAUACAGGGGGUACCGGUACAGAGUCAAUGUGGAGACUAUAUACAGGGUAUUACGGUACAGAGUCAAUGUGGAGGCUAUAUACAGGGGGUACUGGUACAGAGUCAAUGUGGAGGCUAUAUACAGGGGGUACCGGUACAGAGUCAAUGUGGAGACUAUAUACAGGGGGUACCGGUACAGAGUCAAUGUGGAGACUAUAUACAGGGGGGUACUGGUACAGAGUCAAUGUGGAGACUAUAUACAGGGUGUUACGGUACAGAGUCAAUGUGGAGACUAUAUACAGGGGGUACUGGUACAGAGUCAAUGUGGAGGCUAUAUACAGGGGGUACUGGUACAGAGUCAAUGUGGAGACUAUAUACAGGGGGUACUGGUACAGAGUCAAUGUGGAGGCUAUAUACAGGGGGUACCGGUACAGAGUCAAUGUGGA
ensembl:lncRNA